rnacentral:rRNA from 1 species
UACGGGGGAUGCAAGCGUUAUCCGGAAUGAUUGGGCGUAAAGCGUCCGCAGGUGGCUGUGUAAGUCUGCUGUCAAAGAGCAAAGCUCAACUUUGUAAAGGCAGUGGAAACUACACGGCUAGAGUGCGUUCGGGGCAGAGGGAAUUCCUGGUGUAGCGGUGAAAUGCGUAGAGAUCAGGAAGAACACCGGUGGCGAAGGCGCUCUGCUAGGCCGCAACUGACACUGAGGGACGAAAGCUAGGGGAGCGAAUGGG